CCUACGGGAGGCAGCAGUGGGGAAUUUUCCGCAAUGGGCGAAAGCCUGACGGAGCAAUACCGCGUGAGGGAAGACGGCCUAUGGGUUGUAGACCUCUUUUUUCAGGGAGGAAUAUAUGACGUGUACCUGAAGAAUAAGCAUCGGCUAACUCCGUGCCAGCAGCCGCGGUAAU
rnacentral:rRNA from 1 species